ensembl:lncRNA
CAUUCUCUGCAGAUGAAUGUGGGUGGGUUUUGCCGCAGCGGUUUCAAGCAUCCCUGCCUGCCCUGCCCCUGUGGCAGGUGUUGCCUCCCCCUAGAGCACUGGCAACAAAGGUAAACAUAUGCCCCUGCCUCAGCCGCUGCACUUCACAGCCCAGCGUAUGAGCUUCGAUGGCUGAUAGAGGUAGCUUUGCACUCAGACACUGGGCUGUAAACAGCAGCAGCUGAGCCCUGGGCACGCCUGGCUCUGCCGAUCCGUUCCAGGCGUGGAAACCCCUGAGCUGAGGGAGGGUGCACAGUGCUGGAGGCAGGAACAUUUCACAUCGCUCUGCGUAUCUCCUCUGGUGCCCGCGACUCGGAUCAAGCAAUCGCAGCAUUCAUAUUCAUAGGGCUGAAACUACCUGCGCCCCUCCGCCUUGUUAAUAAAUGAAGGAGGCUCCUGAGUAGGAAUGUGCAAAGCAGGAAGAAAGGAGCUGCCUGCAGCCAACUAAUCAGAGAAAAUGGUCCUAGGGAGAGGGCAGAAAUUGUGCCUGCCAGCUUUGAGCACCCGAGUCCUGUAACUGGCCCAAGGAAUCGGGAGAGGGAUUUCAAAAUCAUGUGAUUUUCAUAAACAAAUCACGUGGGAUUCCUUUUAUUUGCUCUCUGAUUUUUAUAGAUUCCCAGGAUCAUGUUUAUAAACUUUUAGCUGGAAUAUAAGGCCCCAAAGGCUCCCAUUGAAAGGGUGGAAAUUCCUACAUUUGUCCCUUCUGCUGUGUUUUGUGACCUGGUGUUUCUCUAAACCUGGAGUUAAGUCAUCCCUUCUGCCCUUUGUUUAUGGGGAAACAUGUUUGAGAAGCUGAAGAAUCAAUGCCCUACUCAUCAAAUGGAGGAGUGUUUGGCAUUCAUAACAAGAAUGGACUAUAAAAUAAAUGCCUCUGGCUGCUCUUUGCAUUCUGCCGUGCCACGGUCUGGCCCUAUCAGGCCUGCGCAUAUGGGAAAAUGGGGCCUCUCCUGAAGUUCUCAGUGUUAUGGUCAGAGCAUUCAGGCAUGUGCAGGCACGCUGGUCCUGGUGCUGCUUUUUGUUUUUGUUUGUUGUUUGUUUUAACAGCUGCUAAUAAUUAUAUUAUCCUGCUGCAGAGGUAGUUCUGGGAAACAGCGAUCUCUGAAAGCACUAAACAGAUAGGGAGAAGAUGCCGCCUCCCUCCCCCCCUCCUUCUCCCUGUUAGUUUUCUGGUACAAACAGCAUUCCUGCCUCAUUCCCUCUGAAGUUAAAAGACUUAAAUUCUUUACAAGGAAGGUCAUCCAUUUGAAGCCAAAACCCUGUUUGCUUUUGUCUUACCACUCGCUUUCAUAUGAAAAAAAAAAAAAACAACUGAGAGCGCACCAGCCCACUUCACCAACUCAGAAAUUAAGCAUAACAAGCUCAG